AACGAACGCUGGCGGCAUGCCUAACACAUGCAAGUCGAACGAGACCUUCGGGUCUAGUGGCGCACGGGUGCGUAACGCGUGGGAACCUGCCCUUAGGUUCGGACUAACUCCCCGAAAGGGGUGCUAAUACCGGAUAAUGUCUUCGGACCAAAGAUUUAUCGCCUUUGGAUGGGCCCGCGUUGGAUUAGCUAGUUGGUAGGGUAAAAGCCUACCAAGGCGACGAUCCAUAGCUGGUCUGAGAGGAUGAUCAGCCACACUGGGACUGAGACACGGCCCAGACUCCUACGGGAGGCAGCAGUGGGGAAUAUUGGACAAUGGGCGAAAGCCUGAUCGAGCAAGGCCGCGUGAGUGAUGAAGGCCUUAGGGUUGUAAAGCUCUUUUACCCGGGAUGAUAAUGACAGUACCGGGAGAAUAAGCUCCGGCUAACUCCGUG
rnacentral:rRNA from 1 species